rnacentral:piRNA from 1 species
UAGCACAAUCUAAGCAAAGUGGCCACAUC